AUAUUUUCAAGCUGCCAAGGGGGCAGUUCUAGGAACAAGAUCUCAUUUUCCUGAAAAUCUAGAAAUUGCCCUUCUGAUAUGUCUAUUGAAAUCACUCUAGGGCUACACUUUUGGAGACAAGAAAAGAAAGAUGCCACAUUUUAAAUCAAAACAUCCUGGGAGUGCCUAGAAGAGCUAGAAGAGUAUAAGGAAGCCUGUGGGCUGCUUUCAAAGAUGAGAAAGACAAUAGCAUAAAAGAGGCCAUUCAUCCUACUUGAGCUUUAAUCAAGAAACAGAAUGAAAGGAAAUAAAACCUGGGCGGUGGAACAACAAAAGACCAUCAUUACCAUUACCGAGGAAUCUCAAACACUAUGGCAAGAUGAAAACAACCUUCCUGCUAAAGCUGUUAACUGUUAUAGAAAAUCCCUACUUCCUAACAAUGAGCUGCCAGAACGACAAUUUCUGCCACAGCACUAAGUCAACAUCAUUAGAAAUGCAAAAGGGGGAAAAUGGUAAUCUGGUGUAUUUAGUAAAAGGCCACAUUACUGUGAUAAUACUCACAAAUAACUAUGUAAAAAACAAGCUAUUUAGAAGAUAA
rnacentral:lncRNA from 1 species